rnacentral:rRNA from 1 species
CAGUAGCCGCGGUAAUACGUAGGUCCCGAGCGUUGUCCGGAUUUAUUGGGCGUAAAGCGAGCGCAGGCGGUUAGAUAAGUCUGAAGUUAAAGGCUGUGGCUUAACCAUAGUACGCUUUGGAAACUGUUUAACUUGAGUGCAAGAGGGGAGGGUGGAAUUCCAUGUGUAGCGGUGAAAUGCGUAGAUAUAUGGAGGAACACCGGUGGCGAAAGCGGCUCUCUGGCUUGAAACUGACGCUGAGGCUCGAAAGCGUGGGGAGCAAACAGGAUUAGAUACCCCCGUAGUCCCUGUCUCUUAUACA